AAAUGAAUUGACGGGGGCCCGCACAAGCGGUGGAGCAUGUGGUUUAAUUCGUCAUUAACCGAAGAACCUUACCAGGGUUUGACAUCUGCUGAAAGUGCCUGAAAGGGUUACCCCUCCCCCAAAAGGGGAGCAGCAAGACAGGUGUUGCAUGGCUGUCGUCAGCUCGUGUCGUGAGAUGUUGGGUUAAGUCCCGCAACGAGCGCAACCCUCAUUCGAUGUUGCCAGCGAGUAAAGUCGGGAACUCUUCGAAAACUGCCCGUGCAAGCGGGAGGAAGGUGGGGAUGACGUCAAGUCGGCAUGGCCCUUACACCCUGGGCUACACACAUGCUACAAUGGGCGUUAAACAAAGGGAACCGAAGCCGCGAGGUGGGGGGAAUCUCAAAAAUACGUCCCUAGUUCGGAUCGCAGUCUGCAACUCGACUGCGUGAAGUCGGAAUCGCUAGUAACCGCAGAUCAGCUAUGCUGCGGUGAAUACGUUCCCGGGCCUUGUACACACCGCCCGU
rnacentral:rRNA from 1 species